GCCAAAAAAAAUCAGCAUCUGAAGAGUGUGCUUCUCUCUAUGAGAAAUAUGAAGAACGUCUUGUGGUUUAUUGCAGUUUUGUCCUUAGUGCAAUGUGUGAGAUGUCAGAUCUCCCUGACUCAGCCCGGUGCUGUCAUUGUGAAGCCAUCAGAGGUUCUUCAGCUGCCCUGUAAAGUGACCGGAGCCUCCCUCACUGACAGCUCCAAAGUAUAUGCAGUUCUGUGGGUCCGUCAGCCUGCGGGGAAAGGGCUGGAGUUUCUGGGAGGGAUAUGGCACGAUGCCAGCGCACGCUAUGCCCAGUCCUUGCAGGGACGCCUCACAGUAUCGAGAGACACAAAUAAAGGAGAAGUUUAUUUAAAACUCACUGGAAUGAAACCAGAGGAAACUGCUGUAUAUUACUGUACUAGUGAUCCACAGUGGCACAUAUAUUAUGAGAGCAUGUGUAAAAACAUAUCCUGA